rnacentral:rRNA from 1 species
GAUGAACGCUGGCGGCGUGCCUAAUACAUGCAAGUAGAACGCUGAAGGAGGAGCUUGCUCUUCUGGAUGAGUUGCGAACGGGUGAGUAACGCGUAGGUAACCUGCCUGGUAGCGGGGGAUAACUAUUGGAAACGAUAGCUAAUACCGCAUGACAACAGUUAUUGCAUGAUAACUGUUUAAAAGGGGCAACUGCUCCACUACCAGAUGGAUCUGCGUUGUAUUAGCUAGUUGGUGAGGUAACGGCUCACCAAGGCGACGAUACAUAGCCGACCUGAGAGGGUGAUCGGCCACACUGGGACGGAGACACGGCACAGACUCCUACGGGAGGCAGCAGUAGGGAAUCUUCGGCAAUGGACGGAAGUCUGACCGAGAAACGCCGCGUGAGGGAAGAAGGUUUUCGGAUCGUAAAGCUCGGUUGUAAGAGAAGAACGAGUGUGAGAGUGGAAAGUUCACACUGUGACGGUAUCUUACCAGAAAGGGACGGCUAACUACGUG